GACGAACGCUGGCGGCGUGCUUAACACAUGCAAGUCGAACGGAAAGGCCCUGCUUUUGUGGGGUUCUCGAGUGGCGAACGGGUGAGUAACACGUGAGUAACCUGCCCUUGACUUUGGGAUAACUUCAGGAAACUGGGGCUAAUACCGGACAGGAGCUCCUGCUGCAUGGUGGGGGUUGGAAAGUUUCGGCGGUUGGGGAUGGACUCGCGGCUUAUCAGCUUGCUGGUGGGGUAGUGGCUUACCAAGGCUUUGACUGGUAGCCGGCCUGAGAGGGUGACCGGCCACAUUGGGACUGAGGUACGGCCCAGAGUCCUACGGGAGGCAGCAGUGGGGAAUAUUGCACAAUGAGCGGACGCCUGAUGCAGCAACGCCGCGUGCGGGAUGACGGCCUUCGGGGUGUAAACCGCUUUCGCCUGUGACGAAGCGUGAGUGACGGUAAUGGGUAAAGAAGCACCGGCUAACUACGUG
rnacentral:rRNA from 1 species